rnacentral:lncRNA from 1 species
AGAUUUAACUCUUAGAAACUCUCAAAUAUCCAUCGCGAAACCAUCCAAUGAUUGGUCGCAAGCUCGCUGCGAACCAUCGCCAAAUCAGCCUAAUAUUCAACAAUAAACUUGGUAUAAUCGUAAUGAAAGAGUAAUUAAUCCAUUAAUUACCUUUUCUAAACUUUCCUUCAGCAGUUUUUCUCCGAUUCUUAACUGAUGAAACCUCACAAAUCUGACCUCCAUAGCUGUUACACCAUGCUCUCCAAACCGGCUGCCACA